CCUACGGGAGGCUGCAGUGGGGAAUAUUGGACAAUGGGCGAAAGCCUGAUCCAGCCAUGCCGCGUGUGUGAAGAAGGCCUUCGGGCUGUAAAGCACUUUCAGUGGGGAAGAAAGCCUUGGGGCUAAUACCCUCGAGGAAGGACAUCACCCACAGAAGAAGCACCGGCUAACUCCGUGCCAGCAGCCGCGGUAAUACGGAGGGUGCGAGCGUUAAUCGGAAUUACUGGGCGUAAAGCGCGCGUAGGCGGUCUGAUAAGCCGGUUGUGAAAGCCCCGGGCUCAACCUGGGAACGGCAUCCGGAACUGUCAGGCUAGAGUGCAGGAGAGGAAGGUAGAAUUCCCGGUGUAGCGGUGAAAUGCGUAGAGAUCGGGAGGAAUACCAGUGGCGAAGGCGGCCUUCUGGACUGACACUGACGCUGAGGUGCGAAAGCGUGGGUAGCAAACAGGAUUAGAUACCCCAGAGUC
rnacentral:rRNA from 1 species